ensembl:lincRNA
AUGCACAAGGGAGACACCCCCCCCCCUCAACCUCCGCCCCCAAACGCCACUUUCAGACUGCAAGUCCCCCACACUGGGCCGGCCAGGGUCCCUCAGGCUAGUGCUACGGUCCACACUGACCUGAGAUGCCGCCUCCUAUCACAACUACGUCGAACAUCUGGCCCGCGUCACUCGUCUUCUGCAGACUCUCCAUGCUCUGGUUGCGGCUCUCCCGGGGCUGGGGACAGGAGUGGGUCUGGCCGAGGGCGGAGCGGACUUUUCUACCGAGUCUCGGGGGGAGCCCGAGGGCGGAGCCGAUUCCUCCACCGAUUCCUGGGCGGAGCCGGGAGCCGAGGGCGGAGCGACCCAUGUUGUGUUAUGGACCCUCCUGAGUUGGUCCCCAACAAAGAUCCUUCUGCCUGGCGUCCUUGGAACCAGUGGAAGGAAAUCAAGUUCAGUUCAGAAACGAAAGGAAGCUUUUACUCUUCAUCAGAGAAAGACAGGAGGUGUGAGCACUUGCUCUUCACCACUGGUCAGGUUGUGGGCGGUGCUGCUUUGUAGAUAUCUCUGGUUCAGGGGGAGGGGUGAAGAAUUCUCUGCAGCUGCGUAGACAUGUUAAUCACGGCCAGGAUUUCAGGGUGAAGCCCAGCAUCUCCGCACACUCCCUGCCACCAUCAUCUUGAAUCGAGGUGUGGUUGCUGCCGUUUUGCACCUGGAACUCCAGUCUUAAGUGCUGCGUGCAAGACCUCUGCAGGCGGCACCCUCUGAGCAAGUGAAACUUGACUAAGCACAAAGGAAAAGCAAAAGGUUAGACUUUGUUUUAUUGCCCAAAUUCUAUUUGUAUUUCCUGGGCAUUGUUCAUGGGCUUUGCCAGUGAGAGUUUCACGUUGUCCUCCUUUCAAAGUGUCUCAAUUUACUGCUUCUAAAAUAAAAUUCCAAGGAAGAUAUUUUCUGCUGCAUUCAUAUUGUAGCUAUUUACACUCAUGACCUUUACAUUUCCCAAACUUAUAAUAACUUCUAUAUUUUAUAAGAGUUUGUUUGAGGUCAGUUUCCUUGUUCCCAGAAAACUGACUCUGAGCUGGAGCUUCUGAGCUUGUUCUCAGUCGCACAGUUGUGUUCGACUCUUUGCGACCCCGUGGACUGUAGCCUAUCAGGUUCCACCAUCCAUGGGAUUUUCCAGGCAAGAAUACUGGAGUAGGUUGCCAUUUCCUUCUUCAGGAGAUCUUCCCACCUCAGGGAUUGAACCCGGGUCUCCUGCAUUGUAGGUAGACGCUUUUCCGUCUGAGCCACCAGGGAAGCCCCUCAGUUCAGUUCAGUUCAGUUCAGUUCAGUCGCUCAGUCGUGUCCGACUCUUUGCGAUCCCAUGAAUCGCAGCACGCCAGACCUCCCUGUCCAUCACCAACUCCCAGAGUUCACUCAGAUUCACACCCAUCGAGUCAGUGAUGCCAUCCGGCCAUCUCGUCUUCUGUCGCCCCCUUCUCCUCCUGCCCCCGAUCCCUCCCAGCAUCAGAGUCUUUUCCAAUGAGCCAACUCUUCGCAUGAGGUGGCCAAAGUACUGGAGCUUCAGCUUUAGCAUCAUUCCUUCCAAAGAAAUCCCAGGGCUGAUCUCCUUCAGAAUGGACUGAUUGGAUCUCCUUGCGGUCCAAGGGACUCUCAAGAGUCUUCUCCAACACCACAGUUCAAAAGCAUCAAUUCUUUGGCACUCAGCCUUCUUCACAGUCCAACUCUCACAUCCAUACAUGACCACAGGAAAAACCAUAGCCUUGACUAGACGGACCUUAGUCGGCAAAGUAAUGUCUCUGCUUUUGAAUAUGCUAUCUAGGUUGGUCAUAA